GAUGAACGCUAGCUACAGGCUUAACACAUGCAAGUCGAGGGACCGGCGCACGGGUGAGUAACACGUAUCCAACCUGCCCUUUACUCGGGGAUAGCCUUUCGAAAGAAAGAUUAAUACCCGAUAUAAAGGAUGGGGAUGCGUUCCAUUAGGUUGUUGGUGAGGUAACGGCCCACCAAGCCUUCGCUGGAUAGGGGUUCUGAGAGGAAGGUCCCCCACAUUGGAGAUGAGACACGGUCCAAACUCCUACGGAAGGCAGGAGUGAGGUAUAGUGGGCAAUGAGCGUUAGCCUGAACCAGCCAAGUAUCGUGAAGGAUGAAUGCUUAUGGGUCGUAAACUACUUUUAUAUAAGAAUAUGUAUUAUAUGAAUAAGGAUCGGCUAACUCCGUGCCAGCAGCCGCGGUAAUUC
rnacentral:rRNA from 1 species